rnacentral:rRNA from 1 species
ACGCUGGCGGCGUGCUUAAUACAUGCAAGUCAACGACUUUUAGAGUAGCAAUAUUUUAAAAGGAGUGGCGCACGGGUGAGUACACGUAGGUAAUCUGCCUUCAGGACUGACACAACUCGUCGAAAGACGGGCUAAUAUCAGAUAAUGCAGCGGCUCCGCAUGGAGACAGUUGUUAAAGUACAAGCGCCUGAAGAUGAGCCUGCGGUCCAUUAGCUAGUUGGUAGAGUAACAGCCUACCAAGGCAACGAUGGAUAGCUGGUCUGAGAGGAUGAUCAGCCACACUGGAACUGAGACACGGUCCAGACUCCUACGGGAGGCAGUAGUAAGGAAUAUUGCUCAAUGGCCGAAAGGCUGAAGCAGCAACGCCGCGUGAAGGAUGAAUGGCCUUUGGCCUGUAAACUUCUGUAAAAGGGAAAACAAUCAGGCAUGUCCUGAUUUGAUUGUACCUUUGAAGUAAGCCCCGGCUAACUACGUG